rnacentral:tRNA from 1 species
GGCCCUGUAGCUUAGCCUGGUGGAGUUUCCGACUGAUAAUCGGAAGGUCCGGAGUUCAAAUCUCCGCAGGGCCA